rnacentral:hammerhead_ribozyme from 1 species
GUACAGCUGACGAGUCCCAAACAGGACAAAACACGCGUCCUGGAU